AUUAAGAAGUCCCUGAUUUGUCACACAAAUUGACAAUCAACAAACAGAUGAUUAAUAUCAUCAACUCCAUUAUCGCACAAAAGACAUGAAACAUCAAUAGUCAUCCCCAAGAAGCCAUUUGCAAGCGAGUUGUCAAUCGACCCUGAAUCGCAAGCCAAAUGAUGAAACAGUGUUUACUAAUAACUGGGCGCCUUCGCACCAACUGAUGCCAAGGCACUUCAUUCCCCCAUCUCCAUAUCAUAUCCCAAAUCACAACAACUAAGUAUCUAGGCCUUAAUUCACCAUUCCACAAUCGAAGAUUAUCAUCAUCAAAGAAAAUAAAAUGAGCCACUUUGUCCCUAGCAAUCAAAAUCCUUUUCCAAACCUAGGAGUGGUAAGAGGCACCAAUGCAAUCAAGAAUGGAAGUCCUCUUGAGUCUGCGUUCUCUAACCCAAGAAAUCCGGAGAGAUCCUGCCUGCAGCAAAAUACUCCACACAUGACGUAGUAUACAUUCUAGAUUCCAGCCAAACAAAUCUCUAACACCAAGUCCACCUUCUUUCAAUGGAAGAGCAACAAACUUCCAUCUCCCACAUUCCACAAGAAAUCCUUACAUAUUUUCUCAACUGAUCUCAAUACUGACUUAGGAAGAAGAAAAAUUGAAAGCCAGUAUUGACUCAUGGAAUUAAGAACAGAAUUGACUAACUGGAGUCUACCUACAUAACUCAUAACUUUAACUCUCCAACUUUUAAUUCUAGUAGUGAUUUUUUCCAUAAAAACAUCACAAUCCCCGACUGAAAGUUUACCAGACAUAAGUGGAACACCAAGAUAUCAAAAUGGAAGGUACCCCUCCUUAAAACGAGUAGCACUAAUGAUUGUAAGCCUAAUACUAGGGGCAAGAGAUACUGAAAAUAAAAUUUCAAUUUUUAUAGGAUUAAAUUUUAAGCCAGAAAGAGCAUAGAACUCAUUGAGAACCUUGCAAAUAUUAUCAACCCCUUUCUCAAUAUCAUUAAUAAAAACUAGCAAAUCAUCAUCAAAAUAGAGCUGACUAAUUCUCAAUUUUUUGCAUUUCAGAUGGUAAAAAAUGUUACCUUGGCUAGCUUAUUUGAUCAUAAGGUAGUGGAGGAGUUUCAUUGAAGUAACAAACAAAGCAGGAGAUAGUGGAUUACCCUAUCUCAGUCCCUUGUAGUCAGAAAAAUAUCCCACCAUUCCACCUUCAAGCCAAUACCAAACAUCACAUAAUUGAGGCAACCACGAAUCCAGUUAAUAAACUACAAAUGGAAUCCCAUGGCUUGCAUAACAUUAAAUAGAUACUUAAAAUCAACCGAAUCAAAAGUUUUUUUGAAAUCAAUUUUCAAAGCACAUUUAAGAGAAACAACUUUUAGGUGAUAAGCAUUCACCAAAUCAUGAGCGAGCAAGAUGUUGUCUCCAAUCUUUCUACCCUGCACAAAUGCUUAUUGAGUUUUACUAAUAACUUCAGCGGGGCAAAUCACCAUUCUUCUAGCUAGGAUUUUCUCAAUAACUUUAUAAAGGACAUUGCAUCAUGAAUGGGCCUAACAUCUUUUAUAUUAGAAGCAUUAAUCAUCAUAGGCACAAGAGUAAGCCAUGUAGAGUUCACAACACGGGGCAGCUUCCCAGUAGCAAAAGACAGAUGAUUGCCUCCACAAUAUCAGCACUAAUAAAAUUCCAAGCAUCCUUUAAAAAAUAAGCAUGGAAACCAUCACGACCAUAACUCUUAUCAUUUGGGAUGGAAAGCAAAGCAUUCUACAUUUCAUCCACACUGAUAGGAUCACAAAUGGACUUAGCCAUGUUAGCAGAUAGUUUCUUGAGCAGCAAGCCACCAAUCUCUUCCAUAGAAACCUGCUUAACCUCGGGGUUCAUUUCUCCCAAUAACCUUUUAUAGAAAUCAAGAGAAAUAACAGAAAUAUCAUCAAUUUUUGUUACCAGCACUCUAGUGGAAUCCUCCGGUUUGAAAAUUUGAAUUUUAGAUUGCCUCACCUUCACAGAACGAUGAAAGAAACCAGUGUUUGAAUCACCAAGUUUCAACCAGUUCUCACAAGCUUUCUACCUAUAACAAGCUUCGUCUACAUUCUUCAAAUUCAUCCAUUCAACUUAACUUUUCUUUGCUUUUGAAAUCAAAUCAGUGUUAGGGGAAAGAAGAGCAGCUCCCUGGUCCCGGUUUUGAAUGUGUUCUGCUUCCGCCAUUCUACAACUUAUGCCAGAAAAAUAUUGCCGAUUAAACUACUUGAGAGCCCCUCAGACACUAUUGACAUGUGAAUAGACAUGCUCAAACCCCCUUCUAUGACUAGAAACAUCAGAAGAAGACCAAGCAUUCUUAACAAGAUCCUUAUACCCUACCCUCUCCGUCCAGAAAUUGAAGAAAUUGAACGGUUUUGGAAAAGAGCAACUAUUAAGAUGAGUGUCAAGCAGAAUUCCACAAUGAUCCGAGACCCUUAGUUCAAGCAAUUCAUCUCUACUACUAGUAAAAAAGCUAACACAAACAGGAUUAACAAAGCAUUUGUCCAGCUUCCUCGCAAUAUGAUCAUCAACCCUAUUAUUAUGCAAAGUGAAGUAAGCACCAGCAACACUAUGAUCAACAAAUUCAUUACUAUUAAUCCACCCUUGACAAUCCUGCAUCCCCGCUGAGAUUCCCACCUCAUUAGAAGCCUCAUCAGAAGAUGCAAUAGCAUUACAAUCUCCAAUAACAGCAAGUGGGAUAUCAUAAGGAAGAGAACCAAAUGUCUGACAAUACAUUCGAUUCCUUUCCAUUGGCUUGUUUGCCCCAUAAACAAUUCUAGCACCACCAAUCUUCAUUAAGACAUAUUGCUCCGAAUAAUUCAAAACUUCCAAUUGGAUGUAACUUCUCCAAAGAAUCCAAAUCUUUCCCAACGGACUAUAGGCAUAAUUUGUAAAAGACUACCUCGAACCAAACUUCAUUUUUAGGAAUUUUCAGCUUUACUACUCUGUAGUCUAGUUUUUAGAAUACUCAAAAUAUCUAUAUUAUGCUUAUUUACAGAGCUAAUAAUAUAAUUAUGCUUAGUAGGAGAAUUAAACCCUCGCUGAUUCCAAAUCAGAACUUUCAUCUAAUUUUUUUACCUCUUUUUCCGCCCCUCUUAGCUUUUGCAGGAGGAAUGCUGCCUAUCCCAAUGACAUCUCCAAGGACCGCUUGGCUUGGAGAUCGCAAAACAGUAUCCCCAUCAGGAUUUUCCACCAUAAUUCCUUCUUCCUCUUGCUCCUGUGCAGAAUCAUCAAAUGUUUCCUGAAGAGCAUUUGGCACCAACGAGGUUACCACAUCUUCCAUUUGAUCUAGUUCCACUUCAGGGCUCAGGCUGGUAGCCUCCAGUUGCACUGAAACUUGAACAACCAAUAUAUGUUGGACAGUGAAACCAGUCUCCACCUCCUGAGAUGCUUUAAUUGUGACGUCCUCCACCCCUCCAGUCCUUAGCCUAACCAGUAUCCUCGGGAACAAAGGAUUCCCCUUGCUUAGAAGGCUCACCUAGAGCUCCCACAAGUACACCAAGCGGCUCCAUUGUGAUAGGAUGGGCUUUCAACCUCCAUUGCUUCUGAGGCACAACUUGCUUCUUCACUUCAUAAACCCUAGCUUGGGGCAUAUCAAUAGCGAUAUUGAUACACUGACCUUCAAGGUGAAUGACACAAUUCAUGAUGGGAAAUUGAGUAAACAGUGGGUUAGGUUUUGGGACACAACUCUCCGUGAGAGCGCAAAUUUCCCUACAAGAGAAAGCAACUAGGCAACACUAAUAAUUUAGAAAAAGAGUAACU
rnacentral:lncRNA from 1 species